GGGAUUAAAAGCUGGCCACUUGAGCCAGCAGCAGCAACAUGCUCUGGUAACCUUCCAUGGUGUGGAAGCUUUGUUCUUUUGCUCUUCACAGUAAGUCUUGCUGCUGCUCACUCUUUGGGUCCUCACUACCUCUAUGACCUGUAACACUCACUGCAAAGUUCUGCUGCUUCACUCCUGAAGUCAGUGAGACCACGAACCCACCAGAAGGAAGAAACUCUGAACACAUCUGAGCAUCUGAAGGAACAAACUCCGGACACACCAUCUUUAAGAACUGUAACACUCACCGUGUGGCUAUUUUCAUUCUUGAAGUCAGCGAGACCAAGAACCUACAGGAAGGAAUAAAUUCCGGACACAGUAAGUUCAGUUUCAAGAACGCAUCAUGCCAUUAGAGCUUAGAUCACAGGAGUGAUGAAUGUCCACCAUAGGCUUCUACUCAGGAUUAAAUGUCAGCUGAAGGUUGAAUCGGGCAAAAACUGAAAGAAGACAACAGUUUGAAGGCUUCCCUUUCCAUUUCCAAACAUAAUACCAAAUGACUUAAAAUGAAUGAAGAUGCUUUAGAGCUCUGGGUGUCACGAUAAAACAUAAACUUACACAUUCACUUUGACCCACAUAUUGUCCUUUCUAAGAUGUUUCAAAAUGGGAAAAUCCUCUGUGUCAUUUUAUUUGAAAAAAAAAAUCAGGAAGCACCAUUGCAUGCAUGUGAGCCGAGCAGAUGUGCAUACAAACAUGCGUGUGUGUACAUGAAGCACAACCAGCAUUUGGAAUAUCCUCCCUCAGGCAAAGCAAGGACCUAGAGGCUGACUCCUGCGUAUUGUAUCACCCUGGCUACCUGGCCAACUGGCUUCAAAUUGGGCUUGACCACUGGGAGGUCCUGAGAGAAGACUGGAGGACAACAAGAGGCAGAGACUGUGGUAUUUCUUUCUUCCUACUGUGGGCCGGAUUGCUGGCACUGGCUGUGUCCUUCCAGGAACACAGCUCCCAAAGAGAGGCCCAUCUGCAUGGCCCCAGCUCUCACUGUUCUUUGCUAACACAACUUCCAUUCGUGCCUCUUUAGGCUUGGAAGUGGCAAAGCCUGUCCACUCUUGCUAGUCUCUGAGUGCCUCAUAUCCCUGAUUUUUCCCUUUUGCUCUAUCCACAACUCAGGAAGUAAUUUCUUCAUUAGAGUCCCCUGUACCACAUGGACUGGAUUCAACUUUCUGCUAUUUUCAGUAUUAAAUUAGUUAAUAUUUGUAGAAUGCUUACAAUAGUGCCUGACACAUAAUAAGCAUGCUUUAUGUUUGUUAAAUCAAUAAAAAUAAACACAUAUAAUAUAACACUGAGUCAUGUGUUCAGAGGAAAGGGGUGCUAUGUUUGUCCAGGCGGAAUCAAGAGCUCACCCCUGGUGUAAGAGUUUGUGGAGUCAAGGGGUUAAUACGCAGGAGAAAGAAAACCCCCAAGGUGACCAAAACAAUAGCAGCAACAACAAAACAGAGUUGUAUGCCAUACCCUAGUUCCUAAGGUUGCUAUUUUGGCCUCAAGGAUUCUUUUUUUUUAAUAUUGGUUAAACAUGCAUUUCAUUUUUCCAAAGUAGAAUUUGAAACUCUACUAACUCUACUAACUUUAGUUGCUCUUCCUAACUAAAGAGAGCAAAGACUAAGCAAGUAUGAGUAAAACAAAAGGAAACUUUAUUAACACAUCCUGGCUACCUUUAGGCCAGUAGAGAGGAAGAGGAGGAGGAUGUACAUGCCUAGAAAAGAAUAGGAAGUCACAGCCCUUGCCACUGCAGCCUGGGUGUGUGACACUGCAGUAGGCUAUGUCAAGGAAGGCUGUAGUCCCCAAGGAACUAGAUCUGCCUUGUCUUAUGGGAGAAAUGCAGAGCAGGAAUUCAGUAGUCUGGCAGGUCAAGCAGCAAAGGCCCAGCAAAGAAUGUGAGUCCUGUCAUCCAAGACCAUCUUAG
rnacentral:lncRNA from 10 species